CAGUCGCCGCGGUAAGACGAACCGUGCGAACGUUAUUCGGAAUCACUGGGCUUAAAGCGCGUGUAGGCGGGAGGGCACGUCCGUCGCUGAAAUCCCCCGGCUCAACCGGGGAACGGGCGCGGAUACGACUCUUCUGGAGGAACGUAGGGGGACCUGGAACUUCCGGUGGAGCGGUGAAAUGCGUUGAGAUCGGAAGGAACGCCUGUGGCGAAAGCGAGGUCCUGGACGUUUACUGACGCUGAGACGCGAAAGCCAGGGGAGCGAACGGGAUUAGAUACCCGUGUAGUCCCUGUCUCUUAUA
rnacentral:rRNA from 1 species